rnacentral:rRNA from 1 species
AGAGUUUGAUUCUGGCUCAGAACGAACGCUGGCGGCGUGGAUUAGGCAUGCAAGUCGAACGAGAAUCCUUGUGAACAAUCCUUCGGGAGAGGGAUCAAGGAGGACAGUGGCGAAAGGGUGAGUAACGCGUGAGUAACCUGCCCCUAAGUUGGGAAUAACCCUUCGAAAGGAGGGGUAAUACCGAAUGUGAUAGCGUCGCCUUCAUGGUGAUGCUCUUAAAGGUGGGGAUCCGCUUCGGCGGACCUGCCGCUUGGGGAGGGGCUCGCGUCCUAUCAGCCUGUUGGUGAGGUAACGGCUCACCAAGGCUUACGGGUAGCUGGUCUGAGAGGAUGAUCAGCCACACUGGGACUGAGACACUGCCCAGACUCCUACGGGAGGCUGCAGUCGAGGAUCAUUCGCAAUGCGCGAAAGCGUGACGAUGCGACGCCGCGUGGAGGAUGAAGGCUUUCGGGUUGUAAACUCCUGUCAUCUGGGAGCAACGGCGGUUGGAAUAAUACCCCGGCCGUUUGAUAGUACCAGAAGAGGAAGCCACGGCUAACUCUGUGCCAGCAGCCGCGGUAAUACAGAGGUGGCUAGCGUUGUUCGGAUUCACUGGGCGUAAAGGGUGCGUAGGCGGCUUCGUGUGUCGAAUGUGAAAGCUCACCGCUCAACGGUGGAAGUGCAUUCGAAACUGUGGAGCUAGAGUACAGGAGAGGAAAGGGGAAUUCCAGGUGUAGCGGUGAAAUGCGUAGAUAUCUGGAAGAACACCGGUGGCGAAGGCGCCUUUCUGGACUGAUACUGACGCUGAGGCACGAAAGCUAGGGGAGCAAACAGGAUUAGAUACCCUGGUAGUCCUAUGCUGUAAACGGUGUACACUAGAUGUGGGAGGAAUUGACCCCUUCCGUGUCGUAGCUAACGCGUUAAGUGUACCGCCUGGGGAGUACUGUCGCAAGGCAGAAACUCAAAGAAAUUGACGGGGACCCGCACAAGCGGAGGAGCAUGUGGCUUAAUUCGAUGCAACGCGAAGAACCUUACCAGGGCUUGACAUGCAGCUGCACGCCUCCCGAAAGGGAGGAAGCCUUCGAGGGUGCUGCACAGGUGCUGCAUGGCUGUCGUCAGUUCGUGCCGUGAGGUGUUGGGUUAAGUCUCGCAACGAACGCAACCCUUGUGUCUAGUUGCCAGCGGUUCGGCCGGGCACUCUAGACAGACUGCCUGUUUCUAACAGGAGGAAGGUGGGGAUGACGUCAAGUCCGCAUGGCCCUUACGCCCUGGGCUGCACACGUGCUACAAUGGCUGGUACAGUGGGAGGCAAUGCCGCGAGGUGGAGCAAAUCCCCAAAACCAGCCCCAGUUCGGAUUGGAGUCUGCAACUCGACUCCAUGAAGUUGGAUUCGCUAGUAAUGGCGCAUCAGCUACGGCGCCGUGAAUGCGUUCCCGGGUCUUGUACACACCGCCCGUCACAUCACGAAAGCCGUCUGCACCCGAAGUCGCUGAUCCAACCCGUAAGGGAGGAAGGUGCCGAAGGUGUGGGUGGUGAUUGGGAUGAAGUCGUAACAAGGU